AACGAACGCUGGCGGCAUGCCUAACACAUGCAAGUCGAACGAGAUCUUCGGGUCUAGUGGCGCACGGGUGCGUAACGCGUGGGAAUCUGCCCUUUGGUUCGGAAUAACCGUUGGAAACGACUGCUAAUACCGGAUGAUGACGAAAGCCCAAAGAUUUAUAGCCAGAGGAUGAGCCCGCGUAGGCUUAGCUAGUAGGUGUGGUAAAGGCGCAACAAGGCGACCAUCCUUAGCUGGUCUGAGAGGAGGAUCAGCCACACUGGGACUGAGACACGGCCCAGACUCCUACGGUAGGCAGCAGUAGGGAAUAUGGGACAAUGGGCGUAGGCCUGUUCCAGCAAUGCCGCGUGGGUGAGGAAAGCCUUAGGGUUGUAAAGCGCUUUUACCCGAGAUGAUAAUGACAGUACCGGGAGGAUAAGCUCCGGCUAGCUCCGUGCCAGCCGCCGCAGUAA
rnacentral:rRNA from 1 species